GGAUACGGCGGUGGAUAUGGACACGGAUAUGGAAACGGAUAUGGACAUGGCUAUCCGGGUUCAUACGGCAAUCCUUAUGAGUAUGGUGGAUAUCCACAUUUCGGCGGCUAUCCUCAUUUAAGUGGUGGCUAUGGGGGAUAUGGCUAUGGCUACGGGUCAGUAUUUGCUACCUUAUUAUGGCUAAUCCCAGUUGACCUCUAUUACGUCGUGCUUCUUUUCUCUGUCUAUUUAUGUAAACGAAUCUAAAAGAAAUAUAAAUGACCUUC